GACGAACGCGGGCGGCGUGCUUAACACAUGCAAGUCGAACGGAAAGGCCCUGCUUUUGUGGGGUGCUCGAGUGGCGAACGGGUGAGUAACACGUGAGUAACCUGCCCUUGACUUUGGGAUAACUUCAGGAAACUGGGGCUAAUACCGGAUAGGAGCUCCUGCUGCAUGGUGGGGGUUGGAAAGUUUCGGCGGUUGGGGAUGGACUCGCGGCUUAUCAGCUUGUUGGUGGGGUAGUGGCUUACCAAGGCUUUGACGGGUAGCCGGCCUGAGAGGGUGACCGGCCAGAUUGGGACUGAGAUACGGCCCAGACUCCUACGGGAGGCAGCAGUGGGGAAUAUUGCACAAUGGGCGGAAGCCUGAUGCAGCAACGCCGCGUGCGGGAUGACGGCCUUCGGGUUGUAAACCGCUUUCGCCUGUGACGAAGCGUGAGUGACGGUAAUGGGUAAAGAAGCACCGGCUAACUACGUG
rnacentral:rRNA from 1 species